AAUUGGCUGAUUAUCCGGCGUACAAGCCAGACAGGAAAACAGCCCUAUAAAUAGUCAGCUCUUCCCUUGUUCGCUCUUUCACCGAGUUAAGACGUCUGUCGGGGAGCAUUAUGGCUAUCAUCAUUAUAAAACUAGGUUAUAUUUGGCAUCCGGACAGAAAAUACAAUACAUCCGUCAUAAAAUGAUAAGCUACCUUUGGGGAUCUGUAAUGAGGGUGAUUUUCGGUCUACAGAGGCGGCUGUAGGGAGUCCGUGAUAUGAUGCUGUCGUCAGGAGUUGGGUGCUCAGUGCUGCAGUCUGGUUGGUCAAUCUGAGACCAUGUGACCUGCAGUGAUCCACCAUCCCUCAGCCCUCUGGAGUUGGGUGCUCAGUGCUGCAGUCUGGUUGGUCAAUCUGAGACCAUGUGACCUGCAGUGAUCCACUAUCCCUCAGCCCUCUGGUUCCAUAGAUGGGAAGGGCUUCCCACAUACUCCCAACAUGUCAAGGGGAGAUUACUGCCCACCGCUGGUGUUAUCCAAUAUAUGCACUAUGUAGCAAACCAAGCAUUCUGUGGGCCAAAUCAUUAAGUCUUGUCGUGAAUGUGGAGAUUAGCCAAGGUCAAGAGACUAGACUGUUUGGUUUAACCCUGGAUUGUACACUGAAAUGGUACAUUUGAUUUAACAGUAGCUGGGGGGGGGGGGGUCUGUCUGUAACGCUGCUCUGGUUUCUUGAUAAUCAAUUCGUUUAGGCCCUAGUUUUAGCACACCUGGGAUACAGUCGAGACACUUAAGACGCACCCUACCCCCUCCAGCCCUCAUUAAGUGGACACUUCUGAUAACCUAUAAUGAUAUCAAUGUUGCAAUUUAGCAAGUUGUGCCAAUUUCUUGGUGUCCCUAGAUUGUUAAACUGGGAAGGUGUAAAGGUAGCUAAGAGGGGGGGGGGGCGCUGUCUGCGAUAAAGCCCUGCGUUCCGAUCCACAAAACAAUUACUACCGGGCUAGUUUUAUCACACCUGAAUUACUGCCCAGCUAUAUAUCUUAAAGUGCCACAAAGGACAGGCAAAUUAGUUGGCCCUUAAAGGGGAAGUACUGCUGGCCCUUAAAGGGAUACUUCAGUCUUUUUUAGUGGGGCCUUUUAUUUACUUCUCCAGUCUGACGUCAUGGAUAUCAGUUUGGUCUGUAUCCAGUUUAAAGGAAGUAGCCAGCUAUUGCUUAAAGCGUUAGCGGAUACCACAGACCUCUUCAUUUCGCUAACGCUGACUUACAAUUGUGCCAGUUAGCUACUUCAUUUCAAACUAGAUGCAGAGACAUGAAUGGUAUUGAGGUCAUCUUGACUCGAAGUAGACAAUAGAGCCCAGUUGUCAAAAGCCUAAAGUUACAAUGUACUCGUCACCCCUCCCUCUGCUUGCCCUACCUAUAAACUGCCGAGUGGCGCACCUGUCUUAAGGUGCUGGAGACCUCACUACAGACACCCUGGUUUGUCACAACAGUCCAUGAUCGGAAAUCCCUUUGGGCGUCGUCCGGGUUUGGCCUGUGUAGGCUGUCAUUGUAAAUAUGAAUUUGUUCUUAACGGACUUGCCUACUUCAUUAAAAAAAUACGUAUUUUAAGUGUACCCUACAACUGGUGUCGGCAACAGUAUGGUUGAUCUCCGGUGUGGAGACUGGUGUUUAGUUGUAAUAUUUUUAUGAUGUCAAUAAAGUUUUAUAACGUGUUCUAGAA